AUUGAACGCUGGCGGCAUGCCUUACACAUGCAAGUCGAACGGUAACGCGGGGCAACCUGGCGACGAGUGGCGAACGGGUGAGUAAAGCAUCGGAACGUGCCCAGUAGUGGGGGAUAGCCCGGCGAAAGCCGGAUUAAUACCGCAUACGACCUCAGGGUGAAAGGGGGGGAUCGCAAGACCUCUCGCUAUUGGAGCGGCCGAUGUCAGAUUAGCUAGUUGGUGGGGUAAAAGCUCACAAAGGCGACGAUCUGUAGCUGGUCUGAGAGGACGACCAGCCACACUGGGACUGAGACACGGCCCAGACUCCUACGGGAGGCAGCAGUGGGGAAUUUUGGACAAUGGACGAAAGUCUGAUCCAGCCAUGCCGCGUGCGGGAAGAAGGCCUUCGGGUUGUAAACCGCUUUUGUCAGGGAAGAAAUCCUUUGAGCUAAUACCUCGGGGGGAUGACGGUACCUGGAGAAUAAGCACCGGCUAACUACGUGCCAGCAGCCGCCGUAA
rnacentral:rRNA from 1 species